rnacentral:sRNA from 1 species
UCACUAUUUAUUUAUUUAUUUUAUUAUAAAGAUUAAAAAAUAUAAUAUUUUGUCUCAUAUAUUAACUAUAUCAUAAUUAUCAAAUACCGUAUUUAACCAUAACCGUAUUUAACCGUAACCGUAUUUAACCGUAACCGUUUUAACCGUAUAUAUAACGGUUAAGGUUAAGAUUAACAAAAAUUUAUAAACGUAACCGGUGGUUAAUAAACCGUAACCGUAAUAACCGUAACCGUAAUAACCGUAACCGUGGUCAUGCCUAUAUGGAAGUUUAUAAAGAUAGGC